CGCGUAGGCGGCCUGCUAAGUCUGGAGUGAAAGUCCUGCUUUCAAGGUGGGAAUUGCUUUGGAUACUGGUGGGCUGGAGUGCAGGAGAGGAAAGCGGAAUUACCGGUGUAGCGGUGAAAUGCGUAGAGAUCGGUAGGAACACCAGUGGCGAAGGCGGCUUUCUGGACUGAAACUGACGCUGAGGAGCGAAAGCGUGGGGAGCGAACA
rnacentral:rRNA from 1 species